CUGAGGCUGCCCGGCUGACCUGCUGGGCUGGAGCUGCUUGCAGAGGAGCACUGCCAAGGAAGGCCACAAGCGAGCAGCGUGAGCACCGUGCUCCUGAGGAAGAGAAACCUGUGUUUGGCUGUUGGUGCCUCUGGGAUGGAGGCUGGAGCCUGCCCUGAUGCAUCAAGGAAGAGUUCCCAUCCAGGCUGUGGGCAAUUGGGCACUGCCUUGGCCAGCGUGUGGCCCAACAUCAUGCUGCUGUGCCGAGGGAAUCGCUGCCCAGUGGUAACCAGAGGCAAAGAUAACUAGCUUAUUGUUAAGAGUUCUAGACCCACAUCUCCAGUUGCCAAUGCUUUUUCUCUCUUCUCCCUGCUCAUGGCAUCUGCCUGCUUUUUCAGGCUGUGGACACACGCACUGGGAUGGGCUUUUGGUGCAGAGGUCAGUGGAUGUAGGAAUGGAGGAGAGCCAUGCACGUAGGGCAGCUACCAGUGCUGUCUCCAUCCAGGGCAAAUUCCACUCUGGAGACCUACAGCAACAAUUCCCACCACCCCCGAGGCGCUGUCUCCUACGCUGACCAUGGGGCACCUCAGGAGAUGGCAGAACCAAGGACUGAUGUUUGGGGUUGCUUUUUUUUUUUACUAUUUUCUUCCUGACUCAUUUCCCCAACCAAUAACUUACUGCGCUCACAAGCGAAAUAAGAACAGCUCCAAUUCCUGCUGAUGUCUGUGAGCUUUGCACGUGGCUCCAAGAGAGGUGGGACUAUCGUAGAAUACCAAAGCAAGCGGAUUGCUGAGGGCUCAGGAAUGGCAGAAAUGCCCUCAUGCGUUCUGUUUGUGACACUGCUGCUAAUUGGAGUUGCUUAAUCACACAGAGAGGCAGCUUCAGAGUAGCUUUACACCAGUCCUUCAGAUGUUUCCCUUAUCUCUGAUUUUCUGUGGCCUGCUGGGCUUUUUCCUAGUUGGUUUUCUGUCACCUAGAAAUUGCUCAGAGUGUUUAUUCCUCAGGACAUUUGAGUUUUCUCCAUGAUUCAGCCACAGACUCCUUGCUUGCCUGUCAUAAGACAUUCAAUCUUUUCAUUUCUAAGGUCCCCAUCUGUAUAGAGAGGCCAGAAAUGAGAGAAAAACAGGCAUAGUAGGGCUAGCUACAUACAGAUCCUCAAGUGUUGAGGGGACAUGCAGUUUCUUAAAUGAAUUGGUCACAUGAUACCGUUUUGGGGGGGUUUAUUUUGGUUCUUUACUGGGUAAUUGAAGCUUCAUAGACAUUAGGAAUCUGAAAAAUGCAUAUCAGUUACUUAUGUACAAACAGCUUUCUCACAGCAAUCUGGGGUUCUCGUAGGGGAGAGAGCCCUUCUAUGAGCACUGCAGCAAACAACCACCUGUUUCCACAAGUGUAAUGAUUCCCACAGCUAGAAUGAAGAGUUGAUAUUCAGGAUAUACACACAGAUUUUCCAUCUCUACAUUGCAACAUUAGCUGCGAUGCCCACCAUCAAACCUUCUCCACCAAGAAACACACCUAUUUCUCUACAUUUCUAAGCUUUCCAAAUGACCACCCCCUUCUCCAUUUAAUAAGAUCUGCAUUCCUCUGGCUUAGCUUCUACUUUUGCGAUGGGCUUGGCACCCAAAGACAUGUGUUCAAGUAGUAGGAAGCCCAAGGAUGCAGGUGGAUGAACUUGGUCCUCUAGCUGCUAUCCAACAGGAGAUGCAUGGUCAUCAAACUCAGCCCCACAGCAAGUGAAAGGCUCCUGCUACAGUGAGGGGAUGUAAUUGGACCUUGUAAGCUCUGUGACAUGGGAACCAAUUACACAGAAAUCCAAGCUUUGGCAGGCAAGUCUGCACUCUGGCGCUAGCUGGUCUCCAGCAAACGGCUGCUGUACGCAUGGUAAAGGUUAAGACUCAGCUGAUGCAGAGUUGGCAGCUGCACUGAGUCCUUUGGCAUUAACAUGCCAUCUUGGGUAAGGAAGAACAAUAGAUAAGUGCCUUCUGGCAGCCCGCUUCCAUGCUCCCAUUCAGCCCGUGACAUGUUCUUUGGGGAAGCGUUACUUGAGAAAGCAAAAGAUAAAUCAGUGUAUGGUAGGAAAAUAGCAGGAAGCUUUGGCUCAAGGCAGGCAGCUGAGGGACAGCAGAGUCCAAGCUUAUCUGCCAGUUCAAUGAAAUGGCACGGUACUGUAUAUUAAGCAAGGGAAAAGAAAGUAGUGCUGGCAUGGUGAAGAGAGACUGAUGGAAAGAACUGGACUCAAGGAGGAAUGGGUGGUUCUUUCUUAUAUGUCCUUUCCUUAACUACAUGCAAUGCAGUCCAGUGAAGAUCAGAUCACUUUCCGCAACAGUGAGGGUUGAAGAUGGAUGGGCACGGCAGGUUGGUGCUGGAAGCCAAGUGAGCAGCUGGCUAAAGCCCGUAUAGUCAAGGGAGCUCAGUGCUGGCCACCCAGGGCCUGGCCAUGGAAUGACCCUCAAGCUCCUCUGCAGUGAUAAGAGCGUCACUUCCACACUGCUGCCCUCAUGCCAUAGAAUCAUAGAAUCGCCUGGGUUGAAAGGAACCACAAUGAUCAUCUCGUUUCAACCCCCCUGCUAUGUGCAGGGUUGCCAACCACCAGACCAGGCUGCCCAGAGCCACAUCCAGCCUGGUCUUGAAUGCCUCCACGGAUGGGGUCAUUGCAGAGAAGCUGCUUUUGAGGAAAUGGGAACACCACCAACACAAACUGCUCUGGUUUGAACUGUUAAUGGACUUUCAGACACCAUGAAAGGCAGAAGGGCAGUGUGCUUGUGGCGAAAACCAUUCUCUCCUUUCUCACAGUGAGAGGGAAAGGACAGCACUAAAGAAAUGUGAUUUUGUGUUUGAAGGAAACAAUCAACCUAUUUUUCUCUCUAUAAGGGAGCAAAAUGGCCAUAGCUGCAAAUUAAUCCAGCAGUCCACAUCAGAUCCAGGAAGAAAAUAAUUUUGUUUUGUUUUCAUCACACAUUUCAGCAAUUAAGGAUUAGAAAGCAUUGGUUUUAAAAGGGAAACACUGUAAGGUUUUAUGACCUUAUAGUUAAAACCAUAUGACUGUCUGUAAAGAUAGAAAUAAGGACAUUAAGAAACUUAUAACGAGAAGAACUUAGGACUCUAGUCUCCAGGACAGCCUAAGAAUUCUGGUUCUCCGAAACUCUGACGUGGCUAUUGAAGCCCAAGCUUUGCCUUUCGGUCCCCCUCUUGUUCCUUGCACACCUGGAGACCUGGCCUUUGCUCUUUGCCUCUGUGUCCUGAGCAAUUUUCAUACAUUUCUGGGCUACAGUCUCUCUCUGUUUCAUAUCAGAACCUAUCUCUUCCCUUCCAUAUCUACACUUCUAUAGCAUCUCUUUUUACUGGUAUUACUUACUCCUAAUAACUGUAAUUACAUUAUGGAUCCCUGUCAAGCUUCUAGGAACAAAGCUUGGAUGAAGAAUUCUAUACAAAAUAGACCUCUAUCACAGGAAAUUUGCACCAUGGCAAAGAGACAAGGAAGUUGUUUGAUCAUUACUUUUAUCUAGAACAAAUUGCACAUAAUAGCAUAAUAAUAUUUUCUACCAGAUUCUGUUUCUCAGACAAGCACAAUUUCUUUCUCUUUUUUUUUUUUUUUGGUAAAUUAAUCUGCAUUUAACUGAAUCAUCUAUGUACAUCUGAGUCCCCAAAAUGAGAUACUUAAAUGUGCAUUAAAAAAUAAACAAAUGAGUAAUUCACUGAAUGCAGUCCUUGUUUCACUGCCCUUGACAUAGCCCUAGAAACUCAAAACUUUCGUAUUGACUUAAGAUAAGUGCCAUAAGACCAUUAAACAAUCCAUUGUUCUUAUGGUACCCAAUAAUCUAGUCUUUUUAUUUAAAUAUGAUAGGAAGUAAUCCCAGAGCCAAUGAAAGCAUGGAACCAACUAGGUGUAACGUUCCACAAAUGCUAUAUUGCAUGGAAGAGUUCAGCUCCUUAUCUGGAAAACAGUUGGCUGUGACCCUAUUAAACAAUUAUAUAUUAUCAGUUUUACUUGGCAACAUUUAUGUGUCAAAAUGUGUCAUGGGUUUCACAGCUUAGUUCCAGAAAUAGACUGUGAUCUGGGUGACAUCAUACUUCUCAGUAAAACCCUUUUUUUCACUUUUCUUCCUUUCAUAACCACUUGUGUUCCCGGUAUUCCCAGCCCCACGCUGGGUGCGCUCAGGCCAGCAAGAUGGAACAAGCCCUUUCCACAAUUUGGCUCCAUGGCACUUCAAAUGGGUUGAACAGUUUACCAAAACAGUGCUGGUCACCUGGUGACAAACAGGAACCUUGGUGGCUCCUCUAUGGCAGAGCAGGAAAAACACGGGAGCUUUGGUGAAGACUGUUUAUAGCAAUAACCACUGCGCAAUGAAGAGACACCAAAGACUAUCAAUGAUUGAAUGGGGCUGGCGGUUCACUUUGUGAUGUAAAGGGAUAAGAAUGUGUUACUGGGAGGUGCAACUCCCGUAAACUCAAACAACGUCCAUGGAUGUGCUGCUCAGAGCGCUUGGCCCGAGGCACAGGGGACAUGUCGGAUGGUGAAAGAUUAGGAAAAGCUACAAGCAGGGAGAGCUGAAAGUCUCCUCUCAGAAGCUUAUUGGGAUAUUUAAACAGUAAGUGACUGGAUUCUUAAAUGCAAAGUGGGAGAAAGUGGCAUUGUGAAACUGCAUUGCAAAAUCCUAUUAAGUCAAAGUUGCAAACAGCUACGCAACUGUCUGUUGUGUCGGAGCAGGAAGCCUGGGCACCAUUUUAAUGAGUCAUGAUCAAACAUCAUGCUGUCAUCUCAAUUUUUUCUCAAGUGCAUAUCAGGAAACAGAAAUGAAUUCUAGAGUUUUUAGCAUUCAAAGAAGAAAGUGCAUAAAGUUUUCUGCUCUCUGUAUGCUAAUCCUUUUCUUCAAAAUAUUAAGGGUGCGAUAUAAUUAAAAAUGUAGAAGGAGUUACCAUAGUAAACUCGAGGUCUUCAUGAACUAACUCACAGACCACAGCAUUUUCCUUUAUUUUGAAGCAUAACUGCAUUUUACCUCGCAAAUGUAGACAAACAUCCUCCAGGUUGUAAGCUGAAGGAAAUACGUAAGAAAGGAAAACAAAUUAAAAGAAGACAUAUGAAAAGUUUUCUCAGAAUCACUCAAGAAAAUUAACUUGAAACAACUAACCUACAUGUGGGAACAGAGUACUUCUACCACAUUAAACUGCAGGGCAACAGAACUCAAGUUUUAGCUAUUCCGGUAUUUAUUUAAUUUACUUUGGAAAUGAAUUAAGCAAUGGCGAAGUUAAGGCAUUUUCAUCACAAGCUGAAGAAAAGCUAAAUAAUGUACCUCAAGGUUUUUGAGUUUCUUUUGGAAGCUCCUUUGAGGCUCUUCAUACAAACUGCUCUUCAGUGGUCAGUCAGCACCUGGAUAUGGAACGCUCCUGUCAGUUCCUAUAGCAGUUUGGAAGCAACAGUGGCUUUUUCUGCAACACUGAGAAGCCUAAAAUAAAGACAUAUUUAGGAAUUAAUUGUGUUUUCUCUUUCUUUACCAUUUCUUCUUUUUUUUUUUCUUCAAAAGACAGAAGCAAAAUAAGAAGGAGAGAAGGGUAAAAGGGUAAAAGCACAGUGGAACUACAGAACAAACAAGAUGGCAAAAUAACAAAACUAUUUUUUAAUAAGCUGGGAAUUUGCCUCAGUAUGCAGUUCUUGGAGGAGAGGCGGCUCUGCAAGCUGGCCAGGUUCCCCACCGCACACAUAUGGACACCUGGAAGGAGAGGCAAAAUGAGCUUUACUCUUGUGCAACCCGAAGGUUACAUUUCUGUGACAAGUCUAAGUACUUCUUAUUAAGGAAAGGUUGAAAGACUGCAGAAAUGAUAAACAUCAGUUUUCAGUGGUGCAGUGAUAAACAGGCAUCAAAUAGGGAUCUUUAUUCUCCCCACAAAGAAUAACUGCUUACACCGAUGGGCUACACUGCUGGAAAGCUGUGUUUGAGAGGGGAAUCCAACAGGAGAAAAUAGAAUAUACAGAGAAAAGCACUGGAGAUGUGGAGGGAGAGCAGAGGAAAAAAAUGCUAUAAAUAAAAGCUAUUUGAAUUGAACUGUUCUUGAUCUUUAAUGAAUGAUGUUUCCUAAAGGCAAGAGAGGAACAAGAACUGUGAUGAGGGAGACAAACAUCCUCUAAAGAUCCAGGAGGUAUUUCCCAGAGUCCCAGCCCUGAGGCUGAAUGGGGACAGGGCUGGACUUGCCCAAGGAAAAGCCCAAAGUGAAGGAGAAACACUAUAAAGUGCAAAGGAGAGGAGAGGCAUCGUACUCUCACUGGGGCUGAGCAAGGGGUAGAGGAGGAUCAGGCACUAAAUGUUGCUCAUGUGUCAACUUGUUCUUCUAAACAAAGCACCUUCAAUCUGUAAUGAUUUUAGUGGCCUUUCUAAACCCCAGUUCAUAGGUUGUUAAUUCUCUAGCAUGACUUCUGUUUUUA
ensembl:lncRNA